UAUAUAGUAACUUUAUGAAACUUGGGGGCUGUGAUGACGAUGAGAAGAUUAUUUUGAAAAGUAUUUAUGGUAUUAUUCUAUGUAGCAUAGAAACGGAAAUAUGGACACGGGGAAACACGGAAUGGACAUGGGGAAACUACAUUUUUAAAAAAUAGGAAAACAGAAACGUGGGGAAAUGGGUAAAUAUAAAGAAUAUAGGAUACAUUUAUAAAUAUUGAAUAAAAUAAUAAAUAAAUAAAAUAAAAAUGUGGAAUUAAUUUAAAACUAAUAAAGCUAUUGUACUGAUAAUUUAAUUAUGUUUAACUUAACAUUUUUAGCAUUUUCAUUUAUUUUUAUUGCUAAUAUUAAUAAUAUUGUUUAAUUUAGGUUGCCUAAUUAUUGAGAAAGAAAUUUAAAAUGAGUAUAGUACAAGUAGAUAGGACAAUUGUUCUAAACCUUGUUAUUUUAUUAUAAUCUAUUAUAUUUUAUUAAAUUUUGAAAAUAAAAAGAAUAAGAAAAGAAAAGAAAUUAAAAAGGAAACAAAAUAAGGACCAAUCAAAACCAAGAAUUUCUCUCCCUUACGUCUUUCUCUCCUCGUCCACUCUCUUGCUAUGAACAUCAUUGACGAGAUUCAAACCACUUUCUGACAUUGGUGAAGCAGUUGAUCAAUCCAGUAAGCUCAGGCACGAGAGAAGAUGGGUUAACGGUGGCUUUGGGAAGCUUAACUAUGGGUUUUGUGGCGAGGAUUAACAAAUGCCAAUUGUAAGCUAGGAGCCAUCUCCGACCAUCGGAAACGCGUUUCCAAUGCAAAAACGCGUUUCCAUCUUUUGAUUUUUUAAGACACGACCCCGUAACGUGUUAUGGGUGUGUCCUGCUGUUUCUGUCUCGGAAACGUUUUCAAAAUGAAGAAAUGCCAGAUUGGAGUUUCCAUGCUUCACACUAUUAUUGUACAUUUACACUUUUUUUUUUGUCACAUUCAUCACUCUUUUUUUAAUUUUUUUUAAAGACCACAUUGAAGAAGCUAUAUGUAUCUUUAGUCUGAGAAGAUGAUGUUGUCAGCAAACUGCAAUCAUCUUUGGGGCAGCUUGAAGCCCUUAGGAGACAAUACACACAGAAUACACAAAGCAUUGAGAGAAAGAUAACUCUGAUGAAAAUUGUAUAACUAAAAACUGAACUGAAUGAAUUACAUGGAAUUAGGGGCUAUUUAUAGAGUUUAGAACCAGAACCCUAAACUAACUAGGAAAAUAUAAAUCCUAGCUAAAUUAGGAAAUUUAGAUAUACUCAAUCCUAAUAGAAUAGGAAGAAAUAAUCUAAAUCCUAAUUAAAAUAGGAAGAAAUAAAUUCUAACUAGAAUAGGAAAAUGCAUUAAAAUUCUAAAUAGAAUUGGAAACUAUCCCAGUCCUAGAUGGAAUAGGAAACUAAAAUAAAAACCUGAUUAGAAUAAGAAUUAUGAAACAUCAGCUUCCACAUGAACAUGCUCUGCAUCAUGUUGUGCUAAAAUAGUUUUGAAAAACAUCAAGUAUGAAGAACGAAAUGGAGCUUGUACAAGUCAUCAAUGUAAAUGUUAGCAUAAAUGUGCUGUCAUGGGAUAUGGUGCAACUACAAAACCUUAACAAGCUGUCAUACUAUUGAGCAUUAGACAUUGCAUGGAUUUCAUCUUCUAUCAUAGUAGAAUAAUGGUUUGUUUAUGACCAUACAACUUUGAUAUCAAAAAAUUCAACUAGUUUUUAAUAUAUAUGCAUAAAAUCUUUUGGCAAAUGAACAGACUUGCCCAUUCAGAUUUAUUUAUGAAAUUAUGAUUCAGAUUUCCUGGUUUCCAAAAUCUUCUGUAAAAGGAAACUUCAAUAAUAAAUUUCUAGAUUGAAAUUGUGUUUUAUAAAUAAGGUUGCAUGAGUUAAAACUUUUGUAUUAUAACAAUAUUAAAUAACAAUAAAUCAUCAUCAUUAUUAUUAUAUUUUGUGAAGGACAUAAUUUUAAAGUUUAAUCUACCAGAUACACUUUGAAAUUCUAAGUAUUUCUAGUUUGAGAAACAAAUAUUUUUGAAGUAUUUGCUGAGUCUAUAUUCAUUACUAUGAUUUGCAAGUGUAUUAUUUACAACAUGUGAAACUUCUUCUUCCAGGACCAUUCAUUUGAGCAAUUUUCCUUCUGAGGUCAUUACAUAUGAUCAGUGGGUGCAGUUGAAACCGGAACCAAAAGGCAUGUUUUCUGGGUGGAUUAAGGGUGCCUUUCGUGGUGGAAAGAAAGACAUGCAAGAAUCUAUACAUGAGAAGCUUAAUUUUACUCUCAGCACAGCUCCAAUGUGGGACAGGUUGGAGCUUAAAGGUAACAAAUAUAUCCUAGGAGAAUUUCUGGAAUUCAAAGGAAAAGAAGAAGAUAUCAUUACUUUGAGAAACAUCAAGAGAUCAAAAGUUAGACGUCUUAUUGUCCAAAAGACAAGCAUGUUGGGACUAGCCCAUUCAAAGCUUCAAGUAUUGUACUCCCCUCGCGAUUAUAGGAGUGAAGGGGCUUCAAGUUCUGAGUGGAAAGAAGCAACCGUGAGAUCAAGUACAGAGGUGUUAUUUCAGCCAGAGAACUCCAGAAAAGUUCGCAAAUUCAAACUCUCUUCAAUUAUCUCCAUGUCGUUGAGUGCCUGAAGAUGCUUUUGAUGAAUGUGUAUUUCAUUGCUGGAAUUCACAGUUAUGAUGCGCCCUAGAAGUUUAAACUGCUUUCUCAAUAAGUGUGGUGUUAAUUGUCAUGGUUGUGUGGCAUGUAUGUGUGGUAUGGGGUUGUAAUAACUGAGCAUAUAUAAGAUCAAUUUUGAAGAAAAGAAACGCCUUAUUAUUCUUGGAUUUGAGUAUACUCUUCAUUUAUCACAUCAAAAUACAGUAAGCAAAAGGAGAGCAGGACCACUCCACCUGGAACAGAACCAAAACUGAAGCACCCAAGUGGCGUCUCCAUGACCAUGUCCUGUCAUGUUAUUGCUUGGCUUCAGAUUUAUCAAAGAAACGGUAUACUUGCAGUGUACUAUUCAAAUCUCACCCGUCACAUAUCUUUUGUCUUCCUAAUGCUAAAAACGAAAAUGGUGUAUUAUAUCAGGAAUCUCAUUUUGUUCCUUACGUGGCAUGAAUCGAUUACACAGGAACCCUCAAACGAAAGACAUGAUAAGGAGUCUCAUCACCACCAGUAGUCUCAAAGUAGAUAGUGGUUGGAACUUUCAUUACCGGUGAUCUUGUCAGCCCACCACCCAUCAUUGUCGAAUAGCAUCCACCUCAAUCAACGGCCCGGAUUCAUCCUCCUCUAGCAGGUUCUUGCACUUCACUGCAUAGGAGCAGGUAAGACGUUUGACCACUGUUGCUUGAUGUAGGAGCCUCAACACCCAUCCUCAUUGCUGCAAACUUCUACACGUUCUCCCCUCCAAAACCCCAUAAUUUGCAUACAAAAUAACUAGACGAAAGUGCAAGCAGAGAGCAUUUGAAACUAUAUUUAUCGGUGCUGGCUUUGCAUAUCCUAAUACGACUAGUCGAAGGAAACAGUAUGCGGUUUAAUUAAUGUUUUUUGGUUCUUCCUGUUUCUACGAGGAUUUGAA
rnacentral:misc_RNA from 1 species